AGGACGAACGCUGGCGGCGUGCUUAACACAUGCAAGUCGAGCGGAAAGGCCCUUUCGGGGGUACUCGAGCGGCGAACGGGUGAGUAACACGUGAGUAACCUGCCUCUGGCUUUGGGAUAACCCUCGGAAACGGGGGCUAAUACCGAAUAUUCAGCUUCUGCGGCAUCGUGGUUGUUGGAAAGUUUUUUCGGCUGGAGAUGGGCUCGCGGCCUAUCAGCUUGUUGGUGGGGUAAUGGCCUACCAAGGCGUCGACGGGUA
rnacentral:rRNA from 1 species